GGGGGGCGAGGAGAUACGCAAGUAUGUCUGAGUGGAUAAUUCCAGGCUUCCAGGAAAAGCUUCGAACCGCAUUUAGAAUUGGCUGACCGUACCGUAAACCGACUCAGGUAGGUGGGGAGAAUAUCCCAAGGCGCUUGAGAGAACUCUGGUCAAGGAACUAGGCAAAUUUGCACCGUAACUUCGGGGAGAAGGUGCGCCUCGGAGUGUGUAGGGGAUACACUCUCGAAGCAUUCUGGGGUCGCAGAGAAAUGGCGGUAGCGACUGUUUACUAAAAACACAGGACUCUGCAAAGUCGCAAGACGACGUAUAGGGUCUGACGCCUGCCCGGUGCUGGAAGGUUAAAGGGAGCUGUCAGGGCAACCGAAGCAGUGAACUGAAGCCCCAGUAAACGGCGGCCGUAACAAUAACGGUCCUAAGGUAGCGAAAUUCCUUGUCGGGUAAGUUCCGACCUGCACGAAUGGCGUAACGACUUCCGCACUGUCUCGACCAGAGACUCAGUGAAAUUGAAUUAGGGGUGAAGAUGCCCUUUACCGCGG
rnacentral:rRNA from 1 species